UUUGAGUGUCGGCUAACAUAAUUUUCAUGCCAUAUAUGUUAUUAUUACAAGUCAAAAAAUGAAAUGACUGUGAACUUAGUCAACAACUGACAAUCGAAAAUUUUAACAAUCGAUAUCUCAGCGAGGAAAUCGAUUUUGACAAAUUAAAAGCAUUUACUGUUGUUCGUUUAUUAAAUUCUU